ensembl:lncRNA
AUGCAGGUUGGUGACAUUUUGGGGCUCAGAGUCCCAGACCUUCCCAGAGCUCCCAUUCCCUCGAUGCCUGGGGGGGGUUUACCUGACUGGGGACACCUCUCUCCGUCCACAGGUGACACAGCAGCACGGCCAGCUGUCCCCUCUCUGCAGGCUGGGGGGUGUCACCGAGGGGUCCACACCCCCCAGCCCCUGGUGAUUCCCACCUCCCCAAAUUUGUCACCUGAGGAGUUGUGCUGUGUUGUUUUUGACAGAUGCCAAGGCUCUGGUGAGCAGCAACAGCCACGGGGAGAGCGUGGAGCCCAUGGAAUAGAGCAGUGUCCCUGUCCCGCAGGGAAUAGAGCAGUGUCCCUGUCCCACAGGGAACAGAGCAGUGUCCCUGUCCCACAGGGAACAGAGCAGUGUCCCUG